rnacentral:rRNA from 1 species
UGGGGAAUAUUGCACAAUGGAGGGAACUCUGAUGCAGCGACGCCGCGUGAGUGAUGAAGGACUUCGUUUCGUAAAACUCUGUUCUAUGGGAAGAAAAGGACUGUACCAUAGGAGAAAGCUCCGGCUAAAUACGUGCCAGCAGCCGCGGUAAUACGUAUGGAGCGAGCGUUGUCCGGAAUUAUUGGGCGUAAAGGGUGCGCAGGCGGCUUUACAAGUUGGAUGUGAAAUAUUGUGGCUCAACCACAAACGUGCAUCCAAAACUGCAAAGCUUGAGUUAAGGAGAUGUAAGUGGAAUUCCGGGUGUAGCGGUAGAGUGCGUAGAUAUCAGGGGGAAUACCGGUGGCGAAGGCGACUUACUGGACUUAAACUGACGCUCAGGCACGAAAGCGUGGGGAGCAAACAGG